rnacentral:rRNA from 1 species
UAGAGUUUGAUCCUGGCUCAGGAUGAACGCUAGCGGCAGGCUUAAUACAUGCAAGUCGAGGGGCAGCGGGGUGUAGCAAUACACUGCCGGCGACCGGCAAACGGGUGCGGAACACGUACACAACCUUCCUUUGAGCGGGGAAUAGCCCAGAGAAAUUUGGAUUAAUACCCCAUAGUAAGUUGGAAAGGCAUCUUUUUAACUUUAAAGAUUUAUCACUUGAAGAUGGGUGUGCGGCUGAUUAGGUAGUUGGCGGGGUAACGGCCCACCAAGCCGACGAUCAGUAACUGGUGUGAGAGCACGACCAGUCACACGGGCACUGAGACACGGGCCCGACUCCUACGGGAGGCAGCAGUAAGGAAUAUUGGUCAAUGGACGAAAGUCUGAACCAGCCAUGCCGCGUGGAGGAUGAAGGCCCUCUGGGUUGUAAACUUCUUUUAUAUGGGACGAAAAAAGGUCUUUCUAGAUCGUCUGACGGUACCAUAUGAAUAAGCACCGGCUAACUCCGUGCCAGCAGCCGCGGUAAUACGGAGGGUGCAAGCGUUAUCCGGGAUCACUGGGUUUAAAAGGAGCGUAGGUGGACUGGUAAGUCAGUGGUGAAAUCUCCGGGGCUUAACUCGGAAACUGCCAUUGAUACUAUCAGUCCUUGAUAUUGUGGAGGUCAGCGGAAUAUGUCAUGUAACGGUGAAAUGCUUAAAAAUGACAUAGAACACCCAAUUGCGAAGGGCACUGGCUACCCAUAUAUUUGAACUUGAGGGUCAAAAGCGGGGGGAACCACAAGGAUUAAAAACCCUGGGAGUCCCCCCCCCUAACUUAUGAAACUCCACAUACCCAAUAACCUGGUGUGGUCGGACCAAAACCU